rnacentral:rRNA from 1 species
GAUGAACGCUAGCGGCAGGCUUAAUACAUGCAAGUUGAGGGGCAGCAUGUCCCGACGCAAGUCGGGAUGAUGGCGACCGGCAAACGGGUGCGGAACACGUACAGAACCUUCCUUCGAGCGGGGAAUAGCCCAGAGAAAUUUGGAUUAAUACCCCAUAGCAUAUUGAUAAGGCAUCUUAUUAAUAUUAAAGAUUUAUCACUUGAAGAUGGCUGUGCGGCUGAUUAGGUAGUUGGCGGGGUAACGGCCCACCAAGCCUACGAUCAGUAACUGGUGUGAGAGCACGACCAGUCACACGGGCACUGAGACACGGGCCCGACUCCUACGGGAGGCAGCAGUAAGGAAUAUUGGUCAAUGGACGC